UACAGAGGUCUCAAGCGUUGUUCGGAUUCAUUGGGCGUAAAGGGUGCGCAGGCGGUCUGAUGCGUCGUCGCUGAAAGCUCUCGGCUCAACUGAGAGAGGCGUGGCGAUACGAUUAGACUCGAGUCUCUGAGAGGGUGGCGGAACUCCUGGUGUAGUGGUGAAAUGCGUAGAGAUCAGGAAGAACACCCGUGGCGCAAGCGGCCACCUGGCAGAGCACUGACGCUGAGGCACGAAAGCGUGGGUAGCGAACCGG
rnacentral:rRNA from 1 species